rnacentral:rRNA from 1 species
AUACAUGCAGUCGAGCGGACAGAUGGGAGCUUGCUCCCUGAUGUUAGCGGCGGACGGGUGAGUAACACGUGGGUAACCUGCCUGUAAGACUGGGAUAACUCCGGGAAACCGGGGCUAAUACCGGAUGGUUGUUUGAACCGCAUGGUUCAAACAUAAAAGGUGGCUUCGGCUACCACUUACAGAUGGACCCGCGGCGCAUUAGCUAGUUGGUGAGGUAACGGCUCACCAAGGCAACGAUGCGUAGCCGACCUGAGAGGGUGAUCGGCCACACUGGGACUGAGACACGGCCCAGACUCCUACGGGAGGCAGCAGUAGGGAAUCUUCCGCAAUGGACGAAAGUCUGACGGAGCAACGCCGCGUGAGUGAUGAAGGUUUUCGGAUCGUAAAGCUCUGUUGUUAGGGAAGAACAAGUACCGUUCGAAUAGGGCGGUACCUUGACGGUACCUAACCAGAAAGCCACGGCUAACUACGUGCCAGCAGCCGCGGUAAUACGUAGGUGGCAAGCGUUGUCCGGAAUUAUUGGGCGUAAAGGGCUCGCAGGCGGUUUCUUAAGUCUGAUGUGAAAGCCCCCGGCUCAACCGGGGAGGGUCAUUGGAAACUGGGGAACUUGAGUGCAGAAGAGGAGAGUGGAAUUCCACGUGUAGCGGUGAAAUGCGUAGAGAUGUGGAGGAACACCAGUGGCGAAGGCGACUCUCUGGUCUGUAACUGACGCUGAGGAGCGAAAGCGUGGGGAGCGAACAGGAUUAGAUACCCUGGUAGUCCACGCCGUAAACGAUGAGUGCUUAGUGUUAGGGG